AGCUUUGUGCAAUGGCAGUAUCGUAGCCAGUGAGGUUUAUCCGAGGUGUGAUUAUUGCUAAUUUAAAUAGGAACAUAGAAUUCCUUCUGUAUACAUAAAAAUUUAGCUCAGUUUAUUGA
rnacentral:snRNA from 1 species